rnacentral:rRNA from 1 species
GUGUCAGCCGCCGCGGUAAUACGAAUGGAGCGAGCGUUGUUCGGAAUCACUGGGCGUAAAGGGUGCGCAGGCGGUCAUGAAAGUCAGAAGUGAAAUCCCAGGGCUUAACCCUGGAAUGGCUUUUGAAACUCCAUGACUAGAGUAUUGGAGAGGUUGGCGGAAUUCCGAGUGUAGAGGUGAAAUUCGCAGAUAUUCGGAGGAACACCAAUGGCGUAGGCAGCCAACUGGACAAUUACUGACGCUCAUGCACGAAAGCGUGGGGAUCAAACAGGAUUAGAAACCCCGGUAGUCC